UAGUUUUGCAGGGGUUUGCCCCCCAUCCUGGCCUUGCAUGCAGCUUGCACUACACUGUAGGAGAUAUUGACAUUUAUUUUGUUUCUUCCUUUCCAUUUCCUUUGUCACUUUUAUUUUGCACCUUGCUGUAUUUUGAACCUCCCAAAUCUACCAAUACUGUUCUGACUCUGUUUUUUAAUUGUAGGCAUCUCUGUAUGAUGAGAACUUUAACAGUGGGAAUCGUCGGUAUAGUGCCUCUAGUUCACGUCCUCCUUCGGAGUACAGUUGCCACCUCGGCUCAGGAUCUCGAGCUUCUUCUAGAGCUAGUUCUGCUCGUGCCAGUCCUGUGGUUGAAGAAAGGCCUGAAAAAGACUUUGAGAAGGGGGUUCGUACUGUGUCAGGCUUGUCAGCAGCUACGCUGGCCUCUCUAGGCGGAACUUCUUCCCGGCGAGGCAGUGAAGAUACCUCCUUCUCGUUUGAUACUGAAGCAUCUAUUAGAGAAAUUAAGGAUAUCAAUGAGUUAAAGGACCAGAUUCAGGAUGUAGAAGGAAAAUACAUGCAGGGACUGAAGGAAAUGAAGGACUCUCUAGCUGAACUUGAAGA